rnacentral:rRNA from 1 species
GACGAACGCUGGCGGCGUGCUUAACACAUGCAAGUCGAACGGAAAGGCCCUGCUUGCAGGGUACUCGAGUGGCGAACGGGUGAGUAACACGUGGGUGAUCCGCCCUGCACUUCGGGAUAAGCCUGGGAAACUGGGUCUAAUACCGGAUAGGAGCCAUCCUUAGUGUGAUGGUUGGAAAGAUUUUUCGGUGUAGGAUGAGCUCGCGGCCUAUCAGCUUGUUGGUGGGGUAAUGGCCUACCAAGGCGGCGACGGGUAGCCGGCCUGAGAGGGUGGACGGCCACAAUGGGACUGGGGUUCGGCCCAGACUCCUACGGGGGGGAGCAGUGGGGAAUAUUGCACAAUGGGCGCGAGCCUGAUGCAACGACGCCGCGUGGGGGAUGACGGCCUUCGGGUUGGAAACUCCUUUCGCUAGGGACGAAGCUUUUUGUGACGGUACCUAGUUAAGAAGCACCGGCUAACUACGUG